UACGUAGGGGGCGAGCGUUGUCCGGAAUCAUUGGGCGUAAAGCGCGCGUAGGCGGCUCGGAAAGUCGGGCGUGAAAUGCCGGGGCUCAACCCCGGGACUGCGUCCGAUACUUCCGAGCUGGAGGUAGGUAGGGGAGAUCGGAAUUCCUGGUGUAGCGGUGAAAUGCGCAGAUAUCAGGAGGAACACCGGUGGCGAAGGCGGAUCUCUGGGCCUUACCUGACGCUGAGGCGCGAAAGCUAGGGGAGCGAACAGG
rnacentral:rRNA from 1 species